GACGAACGCUGACGGCGUGCUUAACACAUGCAAGUCGAACGAAGAGCGAUGGAAGCUUGCUUCUAUCAAUCUUAGUGGCGAACGGGUGAGUAACGCGUAAUCAACCUGCCCUUCAGAGGGGGACAACAGUUGGAAACGACUGCUAAUACCGCAUACGAUCUAAUCUCGGCAUCGAGGAUAGAUGAAAGGUGGCCUCUACAUGUAAGCUAUCACUGAAGGAGGGGAUUGCGUCUGAUUAGCUAGUUGGAGGGGUAACGGCCCACCAAGGCGAUGAUCAGUAGCCGGUCUGAGAGGAUGAACGGCCACAUUGGGACUGAGACACGGCCCAGACUCCUACGGGAGGCAGCAGUGGGGAAUCUUCCGCAAUGGACGAAAGUCUGACGGAGCAACGCCGCGUGAGUGAUGACGGCCGUCGGGUUGUAAAGCUCUGUUAAUCGGGACGAAAGGCCUUCUUGCGAAUAGUGAGAAGGAUUGACGGUACCGGAAUAGAAAGCCACGGCUAACUACGUG
rnacentral:rRNA from 1 species